rnacentral:rRNA from 1 species
GACGAACGCUGGCGGCGUGCUUAACACAUGCAAGUCGAGCGGGGAGUUGGCUUUCGGGCUAACUUCUAGCGGCGGACGGGUGAGUAACGCGUGGGCAAUCUGCCUCUUACAGGGGGAUAACACAGGGAAACCUGUGCUAAUACCGCAUAAAACUGCUCUGUGGCAUCACGGAGUAGCCAAAGGAGCAAUCCGGUGAGAGAGGAGCCCGCGUCUGAUUAGCUAGUUGGUGAGGUAACGGCCCACCAAGGCGACGAUCAGUAGCCGAACUGAGAGGUUGAUCGGCCACAUUGGGACUGAGACACGGCCCAGACUCCUACGGGAGGCAGCAGUGGGGAAUACUUGCACAAUGGGCGCAAGCCUGAUGCAGCAACGCCGCGUGAGGGAAGACGGUUUUCGGAUUGAAACCUCUGUCUUUGGU